UGGGGAAUAUUGCACAAUGGGCGCAAGCCUGAUGCAGCCAUGCCGCGUGUAUGAAGAAGGCCUUCGGGUUGUAAAGUACUUUCAGCGGGGAGGAAGGGAGUAAAGUUAAUACCUUUACUCAUUGACGUUACCCGCAGAAGAAGCACCGGCUAACUCCGUGCCAGCAGCCGCGGUAAUACGGAGGGUGCAAGCGUUAAUCGGAAUUACUGGGCGUAAAGCGCACGCAGGCGGUUUGUUAAGUCAGAUGUGAAAUCCCCGGGCUCAACCUGGGAACUGCAUCUGAUACUGGCAAGCUGGAGUCUCGUAGAGGGGGGUAGAAUUCCAGGUGUAGCGGUGAAAUGCGUAGAGAUCUGGAGGAAUACCGGUGGCGAAGGCGGCCCCCUGGACGAAGACUGACGCUCAGGUGCGAAAGCGUGGGGAGCAAACAGG
rnacentral:rRNA from 1 species